rnacentral:tRNA from 1 species
GGGGCUGUGGCGCAGCUGGUAGCGCACCUCGUUCGCAACGAGGGGGUCAGGGGUUCGAGUCCCCUCAGCUCCACAA